GACGAACGCUGGCGGCGUGCUUAACACAUGCAAGUCGAACGGAAAGGCCCUGCUUUUGUGGGGUGCUCGGGUGGCGAACGGGUGAGUAACACGUAAGUAACCUACCCUUCACUUUGGGGUGACUUCAGGAAACUGGGGCUACUACCGGAUAGGAGACCCUGCUGCAUGGUGGGGGUUGGAACGUUUCGGCGGUUGGGGUUGGACUAGCGGCUUAUGAGCUAGUUGGUUGGGGAGUGGCUUACCAAGUGAUUGACCGGUAGCCAGCCUGGGAGGGUGGCCGGGGACAAUGGGACUGAGAGAGGGACCAGACUGCUAUGGUAGGCAGCAGGGGGGAAUAUUGCACAAUGGGCGGAAGCCUGAGGCAGAAACGCCGCGUUCGUGAUGACGUUUUGCGGGGUGUAAACCGCUUUCGCCUGUGACGAAGCUGGUGUGACGGUAAUGGGUAAAGAAGCACCGGCUAACUACGUG
rnacentral:rRNA from 1 species